rnacentral:sRNA from 1 species
CAUAAUAAUACUAUACAAAAGCCAAUUACCCUAAUUAUGAACCACCAAAGUUUAGGUGUGAACAAUUUUCCCCAAGAUUGGCUCUUUUGAGCCUUUAACAAUAUUUGAUGACAAAAAAAAAAAAAAAAACCACCAAAGUUAUGGGAAGAGACCAAAAAAUUUUAAACAUUAACUUUCUAGUUGAUACAAAGGGAAAAAUAUAUUAUAGUCUACAGGUGGAUUAGAUUAGGUUGUUAUUCACAUUUGUAAUGAAGUUAACUAAAUUAAAGGGGGAAAGAUACAAGUAAUAUUCAUUUACCUUUUUUAGGUGUAACGUGAAUUUGUAAAUUGUGGGGUGGGGGGGGGGAGAGAAAGAGGGAUUUUUUAUGGGGGGAAUUUAAAUUGAAAUUAAUUCCUUAAUACUCUUCAAAGAUUUUGAAAACUUAGUGGUGGCAACUGCCUCCUUCUCAUGUAAGGUGGAUCCACCCCUAUCUAGCGCCAUUCAGAGUUUCGAGAGCGUGGAUGAUAGGUAUGUGUCCUGCAAAUUUAAAUCAUGGUUACAAAAAUCUGAAGUAAAACAGUUUUCUAGUACUCUAUUAACUAUUACUAUUGUAGAUAUUAAAAUUGUUGUUUCAUACUCUCAUCUUGAUGGCUACUUUUUCAGGUUUUUAUUAUGAUGUUAAAGAUAUCUAUUUGCUAUUGCCGGCUUUUCAAAUUAUAAUCAUGAUCAAAAGAAAUUAAGAAUUAUUAUUAUGGCUUUGUACUUUCUAA